GAAUAUUGGACAAUGGGGGCAACCCUGAUCCAGCCAUGCCGCGUGUGUGAAGAAGGCCUUUUGGUUGUAAAGCACUUUAAGCAGUGAAGAAGACUCCAUGGUUAAUACCCAUGGACGAUGACAUUAGCUGCAGAAUAAGCACCGGCGAACUCUGUGCCAGCCCCCGCGGUAAUACAGAGGGUGCAAGAGUUAAUCGGAAUUACUGGGCGUAAAGCGAGCGUAGGUGGCUUGAUAAGUCAGAUGUGAAAUCCCCGGGCUUAACCUGGGAACUGCAUCUGAUACUGUUAGGCUAGAAUAGGUGAGAGGAUGGUAGAAUUCCAGGUGUAGCGGUGAAAUGCGUAGAGAUCUGGAGGAAUACCGAUGGCGAAGGCAGCCAUCUGGCCUAAUACUGACACUGAGGUGCGAAAGCAUGGGGAGCAAAC
rnacentral:rRNA from 1 species